AUGAAAGGAAGCAGGGUGAGGAUUUUGUUCCGCUUCCCACGAGGUGGCUGUAAAUGGUACCCGGCAGCCCCAUACUCCCCAGUAAUGGGAAGUCGUCUCUGUGCCUCGGUGACCCAGCCUUAUCCUGAGGUGGUGGGGAUGCAGGACGAUGGGACGCACCCGGCCCCAAGUGCUACUGGGAGGGAGUUUCCUUCUCCCCUCGAGACAGGAAGGUGGGACGCACUGGCCUACAGAGGGAGGCCUGGGACAGCGUGUGCUUGCAGGAGGACCCGCAGGUAUGAGGGUGCUAAGGACUGAAUUGUGUUCCCCCAAAUUUGGGUGUUGCACCCCUAACUCCCAACGGGAUGAAUUCUGGACACAGGGCAUUUAGGAGGUUAUUAAGGUGAACCAGGUCUUAAGACAGGACUGGUGCCCUUGGGAGAAGAGGGAGAGACAUAGACCCCCUGCCCCCGCCUGAGCACACAGGAAAGGGUGCGUGAGGGCGCUGCGAGACAACAGGUUCCUAUUCAGCCUGCCUGCCUGCUGUCUGUCUGUCUGUCAUACUGGGGAUUGAAUCCAUGGCCUUUGUACUAAGACACAUCCCCAGCUCUUUUUUUAUUUUGAGACAGAAUCUGACUAAGUCACCAAAUCGCUUAGUUGCCCAGGCUGAACUUGAGCUUGUGAUUCUCCCGCCUCAACCUCUCCGAGUGCCAGGGUUACAGGUGUGCACUUAGAACUGAUUGUAGUUGUCACUGACCAUGUCACCUUCUGUUCCCCACCCCCACCCCAGCACAGACUGUCCCGCCUGGCCUCUCCUUACUUCUCCUUAGUCCCCAUUUACUAGGAAAAGGCAGGUGGCCACCUGUCUUCCUCCUCUGUUUCCUGGCUGCUCCGCCGGGAAGUCGUUCCCGUUCACUCUCCGGGUGGGGUGAGGCUGGAGGAGCAGAGCUGCACGGGAUGAUGGGACAUCGUGAACUCAGAGUCUGUGAAUCGGAGACCCAGAAACUUCCAGAUGGAAGGAAUCAUCCUGGAAGCCAGGGACUCUGAGUUGCUGAAGCUUCUAGGCAUCCAAUGAGGGUAAGCUGAGCCCUGACCCCUACGAGCAGAGCAAGUGGGAAGAGUCAGGCAGGGGCACGGGAGCUCCCAAGUGUCCGACCUGGCCCCUUCCCGGGCAUUUCCUCUGGGGCACAGUCCCCUUCGGGCCACAGAGGGACCUGAGAUCGUCCUAGCCACUGCCUCUAAGGUUCCCACGGAAACACCUGGAUGAAAAGGACAUGUCGAAUAUUUUGCAAAAUUCUUUCCCUCUGCUUGUGUUUGAAGAGAAAAAAACCAAAUCUGCUGUCCUGAGAGUAAAUAGCACUUUCGGGCAGGGGUUCUCAAAGUGUGUAAGCUCAACAAUUGAGGCACAUUCACUGGUUACCUUUAUAAAAAAAGAAAGAGGGGGCCGGGGAUUUAGCUUAGUGGUUCCGGCACCUGCCUCUCAAGCGCAAGGUAAAAAAAAGAAAGAGGGGGCCGGGGAUUUAGCUUAGUGGUUCCAGCACCUGCCUCUCAAGCGCAAGGUCCCGAGUUUGAUUCCCAGUACCAAAAAAAAAAAAAAAGCACGAGAAUAUAAAAGGCCCAGGGAUCUAGCCAGUGGUUUCGCCGCCUGCUGGGCAAGUGCAAGGACCCAAGUUCGAUGAUCCCCGGUACCAAAAAAAAAGAAAGAGGGUCCAGGGUGGUGGUGCAUGCUUGUAAUCCCAGCACUUGGGAGGCUGAGGCAGGAGGAUCGCUACAAGUUCAAGGCCAGCCUGGGCUACAUAGUGAGUUCAGGACCAGCCUGAACUACAAAGGGAGACUCUGCCUAAAAAAACAAAAAACAAAAAAGAAGAAGAAGAGGACAGAAAAGAGGCACUACUUCCUGUAGAGAUGAAUAGCAGUGACUGAUAUUCUAAAUGGGGAAUUCCUUGUAGUAUGUGAUUCAUUUUCCCAUUUGACCCCCAUUUAAUCAAUAUUGCCGAAGUGACUAUACUGGUACUCUUAUUGGUUGGUCAGGGUUUCGUCCCACCUUGUGCCCACUUUGUAAUUUUCCACUGGAUCUUAUAGUGUUGUCCCACUUUGUACCUGCCUCACCGCAUGGCUUUGCCAUAUAAAACACCUUUGAAAAAUGCAGUGGGCGGGCAACCCGUUUUCCGGUCCCCCUUCUGGCUUAGACAGAAGCUAUCUUUCUCUGAAUAAAUUUUUCUAGCUCUUAGGAAAAAAAAAGUGUAUAAGUUCGAGUCCAGCCUGGUCAACUUAGUGACUCAGCCAGAACCUGUCUCAAAAUUUAAAACAAAAAAAGGGCUGGGAUGUAGCACAGUGUGAAGGCCCUAGGUUCACCCCAGGACCACACACACAAAAAAGUUAGAUACCUGAAUAUGUGACGGAUGUUAUUGCUAUUUGGGGGAGUUAAUACAUAAGUAUUCUUUUAAUCUCUCAGUUGAGAUUCCUAAUAGGGUAAAUAUGGACAGAUAUAAUCCACAUAAACAAAAGCUUUGGGGGAACACUGAUAAUCUUGAAUUUUAAUAACAAAGACACCAUUUUUAACAGGAUCAAAUAUACUUGACUCAGUCUAAUUUUAAAAAAUAUUUCUGGGCCGGGGAUUUAGCUCAGUGGUUUCGCCGCCUGCUGCGCAAGUGCAAGGACCCAAGUUCGAUCCCUGGUACCAAAAAAAAAAAAAAAAAUAGAGAGACCCUGUCUCACAAUAAUAUUUUUUAAAAGGGCUGGGGAUGCAGCUAAGUACAAAGGCUCUGGGUUUGAUCCCCAGUGCCACAAAAACAUAGGUUGGUUGUAAAAUGGUUUUGCCUGGUUCUCUUAGAACAAUCACUGCUGUUCCUGGGCCGCCAUGCUGGGAGGGAGCUCAGCACACACUGGAGACCACUUGUAGGUGUCUAAGUCCACAGAUGCAGCAAAACCCCCCCUCCAGACCAGGUACCGGACAUACCCAUGAUGAAGCUUCCAGAAGAUUCUACAGCCUGGCUAGGGGAGUCAUUCCAGCUUCGACCCUAAACAUUGUGGGACUGAAAGAAGCCAUUCUCACUGUGUCCUUUCACCAUUGCUGAGUCAGAAUCUGUGUGCAUAAUAAAAAGAGUCUGCUAGCACGGUGCAGUGAUACAUGCAUGUAAUCCCAGCAUUUAGGAGGCUGAGGCAGGAGGAUCCCUUUGAGUGUGAGACCAGCCCAUGCUACAUAGUGAGUUCAAGGCCAGCCUGAACUACAUAGCAAGACUCUGUUUCAAAAAGAAAAAGCAAUAAUAAAGGGUACUAAAUGCAAAUAAAAAUUUUAUCAUAAAAGAAGCAUCAUAGCAUGCUACUCAGUAAAUCUUUUUUUCUUUUUUUUCUUUUGGUGCUGGGUAUGGUGCCCAGGGCCUCACACAUGCUGGGC
rnacentral:lncRNA from 1 species